AUGGCAAUAGUCCAACGGUGGGGUAAACCGGAUUAUUUUAUCACGAUGACUUGCAAUCCCUAUUGGGAGGAGAUAACCCAUAAUCUGAUGCCUGGACAACUGCCACAAGACCGUCCAGACCUUGUGGCAAGAGUAUACAAGGCUAAACAACAAGAUAUGAUGGACUUGCUAACUAAGGGUAAGCAUUUCGGAGAAGUCGCAGCUUAUGUACAUGUCACCGAGUUUCAGAAACGAGGCCUUCCUCAUGAGCAUAUACUUUUAAUCAUGAAAACAAAUAGCAAGUUAGCAUCCCUAGAUGACUAUGAUCGGGUGAUAUCCGCAGAGAUACCUGACAAAGAGAAACACCCCGUUCUGCAUGACCUGGUCGUCAAACACAUGCUGCACGGACCCUGUGGUGAGUUGAAAAAGAGUUGUCCUUGCAUGAUUGAGGGACAGUGUAGGUUUCAUUAUCCGCGAGAUUUUUGUGAUGCCACACAACAAGGGAAAGACUCUUAUCCCAUCUAUCGGAGGAGGGACGAUGGCGUGGAGUUAGGAUCAGAGGAGCGAAUUUGGACAAUAGAUGGGUGGUCCCUUACAACCCUUCUUUGCUUAUGCGAUACAACUGCCACAUUAAUGUGGAAGCAUGCUCGAGCAUCAAGGCAGUCAAGUAUUUGUUCAAGUACAUCUAUAAAGGCCAUGAUCGGACGUCCUUUGCAUUCGAGCAGGACAUAA
rnacentral:rRNA from 1 species